UACGUAGGUCCCGAGCGUUGUCCGGAUUUAUUGGGCGUAAAGCGAGCGCAGGUGGUUUAUUAAGUCUGAUGUGAAAGCCUUCGGCUUAACCGGAGUAGUGCAUUGGAAACUGGGAGACUUGAGUGCAGAAGAGGAGAGUGGAACUCCAUGUGUAGCGGUGAAAUGCGUAGAUAUAUGGAAGAACACCAGUGGCGAAAGCGGCUCUCUGGUCUGUAACUGACGCUGAGGUUCGAAAGCGUGGGUAGCAAACAGG
rnacentral:rRNA from 1 species